rnacentral:tRNA from 1 species
GCGCCCGUAACUCAGCUGGAUAGAGUGGCAGACUUCGAAUCUGCAAGUCGUAGGUUCGACUCCUACCGGGCGUACCA